GCCUCAGUACGGCGAGUGAGCGGCAAAAGCUCAAAUUUGAAAUCUAGCACCUUCGGUGUUCGAGUUGUAAUUUGAAGAUGGUAACCUUGGGUUUGGCUCUUGUCUAUGUUCCUUGGAACAGGACGUCAUAGAGGGUGAGAAUCCCGUCUGAUGAGAUGCCCAUUCCUAUGUAAGGUGCUAUCGAAGAGUCGAGUUGUUUGGGAAUGCAGCUCUAAGUGGGUGGUAAAUUCCAUCUAAAGCUAAAUAUUGGCGAGAGACCGAUAGCGAACAAGUACAGUGAUGGAAAGAUGAAAAGAACUUUGAAAAGAGAGUGAAAAAGUACGUGAAAUUGUUGAAAGGGAAGGGCAUUAGAUCAGACUUGGUGUUUUACGAUUAUCUUCUCUUCUUGAGUUGUGCACUCGUAUUUCACUGGGCCAGCAUCGAUUCGGAUGGCAAGAUAAUGGCAGUUGAAUGUGGCUUCACUUCGGUGGAGUGUUAUAGCUUCUGCUGAUAUUGCCUGUCUGGAUCGAGGGCUGCGUCUUUUGACUAGGAUGCUGGCGUAAUGAUCUAAUGCCGCCCGUCUU
rnacentral:rRNA from 1 species